GGCUUGAACAAUGGGCCCUCAAAGCAGAUCCCAGGUCUCUCCAUGGAAGAAGCAGACCUCGUCUGCCAGUUCGUCUGCUCUGACCGACAUCGCUGCUGGGGAAGGUGCAUGUGCCAGAUGAACCUACGGCGGCACUGAGUCCUCGCUCGCUCCUGGAGGAGGCUGCUGCGGAGACGGGUUAACUCCCACAGUGAGAGAUGCCCCAAACCGGCUGGUGUUAAAUAUUAAAAAGACAGAGGGAGGCCGAGAGGCAGAGCUCACGCCCUAGGCAGUCUCGAUGCCCCGACCCACCGCCAGUCUCUGCCAGCCCCGGGUCGCAGACACACGAGAGGCCUCAGGGGGAAGCCCCUAGGUGCGGCCGCAGGACCUUCCUGGAAUGCCUCUCGUCUCAGCAGCCACCGUGGCCCUGUCGGAACAGGCGACCUUCAAGUUUCCAUCAUAAGGCGUGUUUCUCUGGGGUUUAUUACUCAGCUGUAAAAAUGUGCUCUGGGCAAAAACUUGGCAUAUUACGUCUCAUCGCAGAGGACCCUUGCAGGUGCUGUUCCCCUCCUGGACUCACGGUCACACCUCUGCAGCCCAACUCCCCACCCUCCUUGCCUGCUUCUUUCUGAGGAGAGCAUGGACUCUAUGGCAAAAACCUAAAAAAGGA